UCAUAAUUCUUGGAGCAUAUUUGAUCUGUUUUUAUUUAAGAUGGAUGAAAAUGAUUCAUUGGCUCUGUUUGUUAUAAAAUUUGUACAUGUUGAUGUAAGUAGAUUUUUCUUUUAUAAUUUAGGAAUUAUUUUGUAAUACAAUUGCAUCAGAAAAAACUUUAUAUAGGGAUCUAUUUAUUCAUAUAUUCGAUUAUCGUAGUAAAAAGAUAUCAGCUUCUUGAACCAGUCAUACAUGACAGUGCCUUGAUAUUUUGUUGAUUAAAUUAUUUAAGUGUAUGAGUAUUAAAACUGUUAACAAAAGACCAAUUUAUAGAGACUACAUAUUUUACAAAUGUGUGCAAUAGCCUACAGUUAGAAAUAUCAAGCUGCUGGUUGAAAUUUCUGAAAGUGAUAGAAGAUAUAACUACAGAAAGUGUUGACGUAAAUGUGUAAAUAUGAACUUGUGUGUCUUGCACUUUCUGUACGCAUUAAUAGUGCAAGUUGCAGAAUUAUAAAUGUCAUGUUGUACAACAGUUCAAGAAUUGUAAUCGUUGGACAUGGGAGUCAGUUCUAAUGAGAGUUGUACAGGACUGUCCAUCAAAGGUAACAGUGCUGACACUAUAAUGAAUGUUGUGUGAAAACAGUCAUGGGCUUGAGAGCAAACUACAACCUACAGCUGUUGACCAUAUGAAAACUCGAAGAAGAUUCUUGACGAGUUGACUGAUGGUAAUAGUUGAAUCAGUAAAAAUUGACUGACAUAAGUUGGUAAUCAGUACCAGCACACUCUGCUUGAUGCCAAACUGAAUCAACAGACAAACUGUUUUUAGUGGCUUUGCAUUUGUGAAAACAGAAGUGACAUGUUAAAUAAAUGACUGCUGAAUGUUUUUGUAAUUUA